GCCGGCAGCCAUAUCACCCUGUAGCCCAAGACUGGUUGCCCACUGAAGCUAAACAGGGCUGAGCCUGGUCAAUACCUGGAUGGGAGACCUCCUGGGAAAACUGGGUUGCUGCUGGAA
rnacentral:rRNA from 1 species